rnacentral:rRNA from 1 species
GAUGAACGCUGGCGGCGUGCCUAAUACAUGCAAGUCGAGCGAACAGAUAAUGAGCUUGCUCCCUUGACGUUAGCCGCGGACGUGUGAGUAACACGGUGAUAACCUACCUAUAAGACUGGGAGAACGUCGGGAAACCUGAGCUAAUACCCUAUAACAUAUUGAUCUUCAUUGUUCAAUAAUGAAAGACGGCUUUGCUGUCAUUCAUAGAUGGAUCGUCGUCGUAUUGUCUAUUUGGUAAGAUAACGGCUUACGAAGGGAACGAUCCGUAACCGACCUGAGAGGGUGACCGCCCCCACUGGAACUGGACCCCGGUCCAGACCCCUCCGGGAGGAACAAGAAGGGAAUCUUGCGCAAUGGGCGAAGGCCUGACGGGGCACCGCCGCGUGAGUGAUGAAGGUCUUGGGACCGUAAACCUCUGUUUUCAGGGAGGAAGAAAUGUGUAGGUAACUGUGCACACCUUGACGGUACCUGAUCAGAAAGCGACGGCUAACUACGUG